GAGCAUUUUCAUUCUUAGCUUAGCUUAUAUAUAUAAAGAACCAGUUUGCCAUGGCUUCUCUUGUGGCAUAUCUUGAACUUAUAAAUGCAUCGGCUAUUUCGGCAGGUCUCCUUCACCUACUCCAUUGGGUGAUAUUAACCGGCAAGAGUCAGUGCCAUCAAUUAGAAUCAUGCAAAGAGUAGAACUUCCCUCUUUUUGAGAAAUAAAGCAAAAACCUAAUCAUACUUGUUGAGUUUCUGGUCUUAAAGAAAGGUGGCCCCUGAAUGUUAUUUGCAGAUGCUUGAGGAGAUGAUGAUUUGUAAAAAGAUCAGACGUUUUAUAAGGAUAUAUAUUUGGCUGGUAGUGUUUGUGGACCGUUCUUAAAUCUCUUUUUAUAAGUAAUACAUAUGAUGCGCCAACCUCCCAGUUAAGAAAUUAAUGUAUAAGAUGGAUUGAUGCUCUUUUUCAGGUGUCCGCUGCACAAAAAUUUAAGGAAUGAAUGCUGGGGUCAUGCUGGCGAACAUGUCAACUUUCUUCAGAUGAUGAGAUGCCUGUUAAUAUAUACGGAUGCUUUGUCUGAACUCGGGAAAGUUUAUUAAAAUGUUAAGUUCUCUUUGUUGUCAGGAAUUUUAGGUUUAGCUUCUCAAGGAAGGAGUUUAGGUUAUUGAUGCACAUCAUGUUUAAACUUGUAGGUUGUUUGGUAAAAGCCACAAUAUUAUCAUUCUUGUAGAAAAAUGUUGAAGCAUCUGAAGUGAACAAUCAAUAAUGUAAUUUAAGAUGCCCUUUUCUAGACUAUUAUGCAC
rnacentral:lncRNA from 1 species